rnacentral:rRNA from 1 species
CGUAGGUGGUUUCUUAAGUCAGGAGUGAAAGGCUACGGCUCAACCGUAGUAAGCUCUUGAAACUGGGGAACUUGAGUGCAGGAGAGGAAAGUGGAAUUCCUAGUGUAGCGGUGAAAUGCGUAGAUAUUAGGAGGAACACCAGUAGCGAAGGCGGCUUUCUGGACUGUAACUGACGCUGAGGCUCGAAAGCAUGGGUAGCGAACAGGAUUAGAUACCCUGGUAGUCCAUGCCGUAAACGAUGAGUGCUAGGUGUUGGAGGGUUUCCGCCCUUCAGUGCCGGAGCUAACGCAUUAAGCACUCCGCCUGGGGAGUACGACCGCAAGGUUGAAACUCAAAGGAAUUGACGGGGGCCCGCACAAGCGGUGGAGCAUGUGGUUUAAUUCGAAGCAACGCGAAGAACCUUACCUAAGCUUGACAUCCUUUUGACCGAUGCCUAAUCGCAUCUUUCCCUUCGGGGACAGAAGUGACAGGUGGUGCAUGGUUGUCGUCAGCUCGUGUCGUGAGAUGUUGGGUUAAGUCCCGCAACGAGCGCAACCCUUGCCUUUAGUUGCCAGCAUUAAGUUGGGCACUCUAGAGGGACUGCCAGGGAUAACCUGGAGGAAGGUGGGGAUGACGUCAAAUCAUCAUGCCCCUUAUGCUUAGGGCUACACACGUGCUACAAUGGGUGGUACAGAGGGCAGCCAAGUCGUGAGGCCGAGCUAAUCCCUUAAAGCCAUUCUCAGUUCGGAUUGUAGGCUGAAACUCGCCUACAUGAAGCUGGAGUUACUAG